UCCAAAUUGGUGUAUCGGUAACAUUUCCGCCUCUCAUGUUUACACAUAUUGGUCGCGGUAGCGCGGGGUUCGAUUCCCCGAUUUGGAA